rnacentral:lncRNA from 1 species
CUAAAGUAGUUUCUGCAAAAUCUCAGCAUGAUAUUUAAACAGAUGCAUAUAACACAAAUGAUUUUGUUGAGUUGAGUAUCUCCAAAUUGUUUAUUUCCUUUAAAAACCCCAUUUUAUGUUUUUGUAUUUUAAUAUUUACAUUAUGUUUAUUUAAGUGGUAAAUUACUUGCAAAUGGCUUAAACAAGGUGUCUUGGUUUGUGUUGCCCCAGAUGCAGAUUCGGACAUAAAAACUGAGUUCUGGUAGGUUGAGAGGUUCUCUUGGGAAGCAAACUUGAGUGAGUGGGGAAAGUGAGCCAGAAAGAGAUGCCAAUGAAUUCGUGAGUAAAUGAGUGGAUCACCUCUGUGAGCAACUGUAGCUCAAGUCCUCUGAUAAAUCAUAUGGAACUCACCUGAGAAACAUUCCACUAGAGGCCACAUGGGCUGCAGCAUUUAUCUACCAACUCCCGUCCCUGUGUUCAGUGGAACUUAUGAGGUUCAACUAUAUUUGAGUUGGAGAAUCUAAAUGAACAAAAAGAGCUUACCUGAUCCACCAAUCUGAAAAGUAUUUCUUCAUGGAAUCAUGGUAUCCUAAGGGAAGAAUGGACCUAAGAGAGAUCCUAAUCCAUCCCCUUUCACACCUGCAAGUCCAAGUCAUUCCAUGUCUCACUAGAGUUCCCUUGAGCUGGGGCAAUCUGUUCCAUGUACUUUAGGGGGACUUGGAGCAAAACUUCAUGACAGUUCUGUGAUAAAAGAGCAAAAGAAGGUUGUGUCUUUCCCCAAAGGUCUAGAGAAAUUAGAAGAGAGGGUAGAGAAAGGGAGGGUAUGUGGAAACAGGAGUUGAGGAAUGGAUAAUAGGAAAAAGAACAACUAGGGAAAAUAAUAAAAAUGGAAAAAAAACUUUUAAAAAUUCUGGAAACAUGUGCAAAUUGAGAUAGCCCAGGAUAUGAGUCAGAGGUGGCUGGGUUUAAAAAAAAAAAAAAAAAAAAAAAAGACAACUGAAGAAAAAUAAGGAAAAUGGUUUGCUGUUUUUGUUGUUGUUGUUCUCUUACAAGUGUAAGUUUAUAGUUAUUAAGCAAAACAAAAAUUAGAAUUGUUACAAGGUAUUGUACAUGUAGGGGAAAAUUUUUGAGGUAAAAUAUGAGAGUCUAACAAUAAAUGUAAAUCAUAUUUUAAAAACUGAAGAUGCAAAAUAAAUAUAUCUUACAUUUGUUUUUAAAGAAAUCACAUUGAGCAGCUAAGAAGAUCCCUUCCAAAAUGUUUCAGUUUCCUUCUCUUCACUGGCUUCCUCACAGUGUGUUCACCCACACACCCUGAUGUUAUUGGCACGUAAAUCAAAUCUUUCAUAAAAAUCAGAAAUAAA